GACGAACGCUGGCGGCGUGCCUAAUACAUGCAAGUCGAACGCUUUUUCUUUCACCGGAGCUUGCUCCACCGAAAGAAAAGGAGUGGCGAACGGGUGAGUAACACGUGGGUAACCUGCCCAUCAGAAGGGGAUAACACUUGGAAACAGGUGCUAAUACCGUAUAACAAUAGAAACCGCAUGGUUUCUAUUUGAAAGGCGCUUUUGCGUCACUGAUGGAUGGACCCGCGGUGCAUUAGCUAGUUGGUGAGGUAACGGCUCACCAAGGCAACGAUGCAUAGCCGACCUGAGAGGGUGAUCGGCCACAUUGGGACUGAGACACGGCCCAAACUCCUACGGGAGGCAGCAGUAGGGAAUCUUCGGCAAUGGACGAAAGUCUGACCGAGCAACGCCGCGUGAGUGAAGAAGGUUUUCGGAUCGUAAAACUCUGUUGUUAGAGAAGAACAAGGAUGAGAGUAAAAUGUUCAUCCCUUGACGGUAUCUAACCAGAAAGCCACGGCUAACUACGUGCCAGCAGCCGCGGUAAUACGUAGGUGGCAAGCGUUGUCCGGAUUUAUUGGGCGUAAAGCGAGCGCAGGCGGUUUCUUAAGUCUGAUGUGAAAGCCCCCGGCUCAACCGGGGAGGGUCAUUGGAAACUGGGAAACUUGAGUGCAGAAGAGGAGAGUGGAAUUCUAUGUGUAGCGGUGAAAUGCGUAGAUAUAUGGAGGAACACCAGUGGCGAAGGCGGCUCUCUGGUCUGUAACUGACGCUGAGGCUCGAAAGCGUGGGGAGCAAACAGGAU
rnacentral:rRNA from 1 species